AAAAUCAGCUAUUUCUUGACUUACACAUGCAAGUUUCAGCACCCCUGUGAGAACGCCCCCCCAACUCCUCCAAGGAAUACGGAGCCGGUAUCAGGAUCAUAUUAUCGCCCAAGACGCCUAGCUAUGCCACACCCUCAAGGGAAUUCAGCAGUGAUUAACAUUAAACAUAAGCGACAGCUUGAUUCAGUCAAAGAAAAGAGAGCCGGCAAAUCUGGUGCCAGCCGCCGCGGUUACACCACGUGGCUCAAGUUGACCUUACUCGGCGUAAAGCGUGGUUUAAGAAACACCCUUAUGGUGUCAAAAAAAAGCUAAGCCGUGACACGCUUACCUUAAAGAAGGCCAAAAACGAAAGUUACACCAACAAUGUUAACUUGA
rnacentral:rRNA from 1 species